GACGAACGCUGGCGGCGUGCUUAACACAUGCAAGUCGAACGGAAAGGCCCUGCUUUUGUGGGGUGCUCGAGUGGCGAACGGGUGAGUAACACGUGAGUAACCUGCCCUUGACUUUGGGAUAACUUCAGGAAACUGGGGCUAUUACCGGAUAGGAGCUCCUGCUGCAUGGUGGGGGUUGGAAAGUUUCGGCGGUUGGGGAUGGACUUGCGGCUUAUCAGCUUGUUGGUGGGGUAGUGGCUUACCAAGGCUUUGACGGGUAGCCGGCCUGAGAGGGUGACCGGCCACAUUGGGACUGAGAUACGGCCCAGACUCCUACGGGAGGCAGCAGUGGGGAAUAUUGCACAAUGGGCGGAAGCCUGAUGCAGCAACGCCGCGUGCGGGAUGACGGCCUUCGGGUUGUAAACCGCUUUCGCCUGUGACGAAGCGUGAGUGACGGUAAUGGGUAAAGAAGCACCGGCUAACUACGUG
rnacentral:rRNA from 1 species